GAUGAACGCUAGCGGGAGGCUUAACACAUGCAAGUCGAGGGGCAGCAUAGGGUAGCAAUACUCUGAUGGCGACCGGCAAACGGGUGAGUAACGCGUAUGCAACCUACCUGUACAGGGGGAUAACCCGGAGAAAUUCGGACUAAUAUCCCGUAAUAAUAUCCGGAGGCAUCUUUGGAUAUUUAAAGUUCCGACGGUACGGGAUGGGCAUGCGUAACAUUAGCUGGUUGGUAAGGUAACGGCUUACCAAGGCUAUGAUGUUUAGGGGUCCUGAGAGGGUGGUCCCCCACACUGGUACUGAGACACGGACCAGACUCCUACGGGAGGCAGCAGUGAGGAAUAUUGGUCAAUGGGCGCAAGCCUGAACCAGCCAUCCCGCGUGCAGGAAGACGGCCCUAUGGGUUGUAAACUGCUUUUCCAGGGAGAGAAACUUACGCACGUGUUGCGUGACUGACGGUACCCUGGGAAUAAGCAUCGGCUAACUCCGUG
rnacentral:rRNA from 1 species